rnacentral:lncRNA from 1 species
AAAUGCUGAUACGGCGGCAGGGGAGCUGGCAGCAGCUUUGGGGGCCGAGAAGUUGCUUUUGUUGACUGAUGUAGCUGGGAUUCUUGAAAAUAAAGAUGAUCCUGAGAGUUUAGUGAAGGAAAUAGAUGUGAGAGGAGUGAAGAAGAUGAUGGAGGAUGGGAAGAUUGCUGGUGGUAUGAUCCCAAAAGUGAAUUGCUGUAUAAAGUCACUGGCUCAAGGUGUUAAAACAGCAAGUAUUAUUGAUGGGCGACUGGAACACUCUUUGCUGUUG